UACGAAGGGGGCUAGCGUUGUUCGGAAUUACUGGGCGUAAAGCGCGCGCAGGCGGUCCUUUAAGUCAGGGGUGAAAGCCCAGAGCUCAACUCUGAACUGCCUUUGAAACUAGAGGACUUGGGUACGGGAGAGGUGAGUGGAAUUCCGAGUGUAGAGGUGAAAUUCGUAGAUAUUCGGAAGAACACCAGUGGCGAAGGCGGCUCACUGGCCCGUUACCGACGCUCAGGCGCGACAGCGUGGGGAGCAAACAG
rnacentral:rRNA from 1 species